rnacentral:lncRNA from 1 species
UCUAAUUGAAAAACAUCCUCAUAUUAGAUGUCAUCUACUAAUGUGGCUAAAUCUAAGUCCCCUACUUCUUCUUGAUAGGUUGCAACCCCUUCUAAAAAGUUUACCAAAUACUCUCUAGUAGAAUCAAGGUGGUUUAUUAACCAUUGGGCAAAUUCUCUAUUAUCCUCUCAAUCAUACAACCUUAGGCCUAAACAACCUAUAGUAGUCAAGUUUAGAUUAGAUGUUUGGAUUUUUGAAUUGAAUUUUGGAAGAGUAAAUCUAACUUGUUUCUUCAAUCCUUCCAUCAUUAAUGGUUCAUACACAUCUUCUUCUAAAGAAUCACUAUACUCUGCCUUAUGGUAUAUUCUAUUAAUUUGAAU